rnacentral:ncRNA from 1 species
GAGAGCCGUAUGCGCUGAAAGGUGCACGUACGGUUCGGAGGGGGGUUCACUAUACUGGGUUCCUACCCUAU